UACGUAGGUGACAAGCGUUGUCCGGAUUUACUGGACGUAAAGAGCGCGCAGGCGGUCGAUCAAGUCGAGUGUGAAAGCCCCCGGCUCAACUGGGGAGGGUCAUUCGAUACUGAUCGACUCGAAGGCAGGAGAGGGUAGUGGAAUUCCCGAUGUAGUGGUGAAAUGCGUAGAUAUCGGGAGGAACACCAGUGGCGAAGGCGACUACCUGGCCUGUUCUUGACGCUGAGGCGCGAAAGCUAGGGGAGCAAACGGA
rnacentral:rRNA from 1 species